UUAUGGUCAGAAGGACACCUCCACGGAGCACAGGGGCCUUCUGCUCAUCAAAAUUUCUACUCAGUAACAGUGCUAAAUAUCAAUUAUUUAGCUCUUAGUGUGAAUUGACUGUAUGUCAUUUUACUUACAUACAUCUGCAUUUUAUAUCUUACCUUCACUCUGGAAUGAAAAGUUUGUGCCCCCAAGAAAGCCAAGAGACAGCAAUAAGAAGGGAAGAGAGCCAGUGCACAGCCAUCGUGUCCUAGGUCAAAAGUCCCAUCCCCACUUCCAGUUCUCAUAAGCCUCCCCUUUGUAACAGCGGGCACCAAAUUUGCUUUAUAUGGUCAUGAGCCCUGUUACCUGCAGCAUCAAAUGGGAGGCAUGAAGCCACGAUAAAGAACAAGCAAAGUGAGCUCCGUGAACGGGCUUUCCCAGGCUGCCUUCUGCACACAUGAGCCUACCCAGAGGGGACACAGAACAGGGAUGAGGCCUCUCGCAUCUGUGGGGGCUAUGAAGACAAAUGUUAUGUGUACCUAAAACUAAACCAGCACUCACUGCUUCCAGGAAGAGUUGGAAUAAAAAGGAAGGAGAAACUCACCGGAAAUGAAACUCAAAGGCCAGGAGUGAGGGCGGUUACCUGCCACACUCCUGUGAGAGCCUACCCAUCAUGGCGAAGCUGGAGAGUGGGCAGAUCCUUUCCCAGAGCCCCUCCAAGUCACCUUGGAGAUACCAUCAGACUUCCCUCUUUUCUUCAGAUUUCUUCAACCACUCCACAGACAUAUUUAAAGCACCUGCCACAGCUGUCUGAGUCUGAAGCCAGAAUACAGGCGACAUGUAAGAAUAAUGCCAAGGACAGGAGAGGAUGGGGCAGCCGAGGAGAAGCACCACGUUACCCUCAAGCCCUACCCUGUGGGCAGCUGUCCCCACCCAGGCUGUGCUUGUGGAGAUAUCUCCGUGUGGCCAAACCACAAGGCCCCCAUUUGGAGGAUCCCAUUUUCUAACCACCUUGGCCCAACAUCAAUAACAACAUUGCCCCAUAAGAAGCCGCGAGGCAUUUCCUCAGGGAACCACCAGCGCCAGGGCUCAAAGACCAAGUUUAGACACUAGGAACUCCCCUCAGGAGUGUAAAACUGAGUUCAGAAAUAAGAAAAACAAAGUUUCCAGCCCAAGUCUCCUCCACGGGAGACACCCUCAGCGCCCCUCCUCACAGCUGCUAGGCCUCCUUCCCGGGCCGGCCCCUCAUUAGGAACUAACAGUCCCAGCCAUGCCAGCCUCCAGGCCUCCUUGUUAACUCCUUGGUUUCCCUUAGUGCUGCCAGGAAAAAAUUAGGCCUCAGAAAUCCUGAGCAGUACUGAGAGGCAGAGAGCACCUACCACAGAUAGUUAAUGGUGUGUACAUUCUACGGUUUCUCUUAAUAAACCAAAUUAAUAAUAA